rnacentral:rRNA from 1 species
CAAUAGCGUAUAUUUAAGUUGUUGCAGUUAAAAAGCUCGUAGUUGGAUUUCGGUUAAGAGCGACCGGUCCGCCGUUUGGUGUGCACUGGUUGGUUUUAACUUCCUGUAGAGGACGUGCUCUGGGUUUAACGACCUGGACUCGGAGUCUACGUGGUUACUUUGAAAAAAUUAGAGUGCUCAAAGCGGGCUUACGCUUGAAUAUUUCAGCAUGGAAUAACACUAUAGGACUCCUGUCCUAUUUCGUUGGUCUCGGGACGGGAGUAAUGAUUAAGAGGAACAGUUGGGGGCAUUCGUAUGUCAUUGUCAGAGGUGAAAUUCUUGGAUUUAUGAAAGACGAACUUCUGCGAAAGCAUUUGCCAAGGAUGUUUUCAUUAA